AGUCACGAGUUUGACAUGGCUCAGAUUGAACGCUGGCGGCAUGCCUUACACAUGCAAGUCGAACGGCAGCACGGGAGCAAUCCUGGUGGCGAGUGGCGAACGGGUGAGUAAUAUAUCGGAACGUGCCCGGUCGUGGGGGAUAACGUAGCGAAAGCUACGCUAAUACCGCAUACGAUCUACGGAUGAAAGCGGGGGAUCGCAAGACCUCGCGCGAUUGGAGCGGCCGAUAUCAGAUUAGGUAGUUGGUGAGGUAAAGGCUCACCAAGCCGACGAUCUGUAGCUGGUCUGAGAGGACGACCAGCCACACUGGGACUGAGACACGGCCCAGACUCCUACGGGAGGCAGCAGUGGGGGAAUAUUGGACAAUGGGCGAAAGCCUGAUCCAGCAAUGCCGCGUGAGUGAUGAAGGCCUUCGGGUUGUAAAGCUCUUUUACUCGGGACGAUAAUGACGGUACCGAGAGAAUAAGCCCCGGCUAACUCCGUG
rnacentral:rRNA from 1 species